UACGAAGGGGGCUAGCGUUGCUCGGAAUCACUGGGCGUAAAGGGUGCGUAGGCGGGUCUUUAAGUCAGGGGGGAAAUCCUGGAGCUCAACUCCAGAACUGCCUUUGAUACUGAGGAUCUUGAGUUCGGGAGAGGUGAGUGGAACUGCGAGUGUAGAGGUGAAAUUCGUAGAUAUUCGCAAGAACACCAGUGGCGAAGGCGGCUCACUGGCCCGAUACUGACGCUGAGGCACGAAGGCGUGGGGAGCAAACAGG
rnacentral:rRNA from 1 species